rnacentral:lncRNA from 15 species
AUUAAUGUUAAGAAAAAGUAAAGAUGUUGGCUUAUGUCAGAUAUACUAACUGUUAAUCUAUAAAUGUGGAUUUGGGUUAGCUAAUUCUUCCAGUUUUCAAAGUAGGGUUGUAAAAUAGGGUCGUAAUAACAUACAUCUAUUGAAUAUAUCAAACAUUUAGUGCAGUCGAAUUAGUAAUUACACUUCAUCUAUAUGAUUGAUAUUUUAAAAAAGUAAAGAUGUUUAUUUCAGAUAGUUUUACAGCCGCUUCAUAUAUUUUUUUCUGUUUUCUUUUUUGACUUCUUUUUUAAUUUACAUAUAUACAUUUUUAAAUUCUCUUUACUGAAAUACUGUUUCUUAUGUUUUAUGAUUUAAAGUGCAAGCGACGAGAAGUGACGUCAUUCACGGCGUCUCGUUCGCGGUACUUGGUAACGCGGGUACUGUCCUCACGCGGGAAUGGAGAGAAACACAGGUUUAGAAAAUGUUUAGUAGAAGGAAGAAGCAGUCAUGAUGAAGCCCAAAGCAAGAAGCUGCCCCUAUUGUGGAGCAAGCAUCAUGCCAAUCGGAGGACCUGUGCCAGCUGCUGUGUGUUGGCCUCCUGCAAAAAAUGUCAUUCAAAGAAAAAGAAAAGGCAGUGAGCAAGCUUGCUGCCUUUGGCUACAACCCAAUUUUGUUCAUCAGGAAGAAGAAGAAGAGGGUGAACACAGUAAAUGCUGAAAUGAUCACCUACAUGUGACCUGGAGGGGACGGGCCUGUAAAACCCUUUUUAGAAAAGAUGAGCAGGGCAUAUGAGUACAUUAUUAAAAGUAAGGCAAACAUCUGUUUUUAUGAUUUAUGCUUUGGGAUGUGCUGUCAUUGUGAGUAAUAUUUAUAUUUAUAUUUUUCAGAUUCUCAAGGAUGCAAUUGCCAGAAGCUCCCAGCCCA